GAUGAACGCUAGCGAUAGGCUUAACACAUGCAAGUCGAGGGGCAGCGAGGGUAGCAAUACCUGUCGGCGACCGGCGCACGGGUGAGUAACGCGUAUGUAACCUGCCCGCAACAGGGGGAUAACCCGGCGAAAGUCGGACUAAUACCGCAUAAAACAGGGGUCCCGCAUGGGAAUAUUUGUUAAAGAUUUAUCGGUUGCGGAUGGGCAUGCGUACCAUUAGGUAGUUGGUGAGGUAACGGCUCACCAAGCCCUCGAUGGUUAGGGGUUCUGAGAGGAAGGUCCCCCACACUGGUACUGAGACACGGACCAGACUCCUACGGGAGGCAGCAGUGAGGAAUACGGUCAAUGGGCGAGAGCCUGAACCAGCCAAGUCGCGUGAAGGAUGACUGCCCUAUGGGUUGUAAACUUC
rnacentral:rRNA from 1 species